UCGAGCGAAGCACUUAUGAAAGAUUCUUCGGAUGAAUUCAUUUGUGACUGUACGGCGGACGGGUGAGUAACGCGUGGGUAACCUGCCUCAUACAGGGGGAUAACAGUUGGAAACGACUGCUAAUACCGCAUAAGCGCACAGUACCGCAUGGUACAGUGUGAAAAACUCCGGUGGUAUGAGAUGGACCCGCGUCUGAUUAGCUAGUUGGUGGGGUAACGGCCUACCAAGGCGACGAUCAGUAGCCGACCUGAGAGGGUGACCGGCCACAUUGGGACUGAGACACGGCCCAAACUCCUACGGGAGGCAGCAGUGGGGAAUAUUGCACAAUGGGGGAAACCCUGAUGCAGCAACGCCGCGUGAGUGAAGAAGUAUUUCGGUAUGUAAAGCUCUAUCAGCAGGGAAGAAAAUGACGGUACCUGACUAAGAAGCCCCGGCUAACUACGUGCCAGCAGCCGCGGUAAUACGUAGGGGGCAAGCGUUAUCCGGAUUUACUGGGUGUAAAGGGAGCGUAGACGGCGAGACAAGUCUGAAGUGAAAGCCCGGGGCUCAACCCCGGGACUGCUUUGGAAACUGCCUUGCUAGAGUGCUGGAGAGGUAAGUGGAAUUCCUAGUGUAGCGGUGAAAUGCGUAGAUAUUAGGAGGAACACCAGUGGCGAAGGCGGCUUACUGGACAGUAACUGACGUUGAGGCU
rnacentral:rRNA from 1 species